rnacentral:lncRNA from 1 species
CUCUGUAUAGUCCUCUGACAAAUCAGUAAUUCCUGGAUUUAUUAGCCGACUAUACACCAGAGGAAAAAGACUGUCAAAAAAACGUAGUACUGCAUUUUCCACUGUAGUGUCUGCACCCAGGAUGUAGAGGGAGAUGUCUGUAAAAAGUUCUUUAACAGGCUCUGCUGCUUCUUUUGCCAUAGGUCUGUAAGCUGUCUCAAACAGAGAUCUUGUGCGGUUUUCAGCUAAGCGCAGGAAGGACUCAAAGGCCUCUUGAAAAGCUGUGGUGUGGCCAACAAUCAUGUACUUCAGUUCAAAAUUCAGUGCCUGGAUACUCUGCGUCCUCUCUCUUCGAACAGCUGCCUGGUAGCUCUCUUCCAUUUUUUUGGUGCAACAUGUUGGUGCUCUAUCUUGGCAGAUCUGUAAGUCUGCCUCGGCCGUGGGCACGUCGGGGACCAGCUUGAGGGGCCCGAUCUGUCGCAGCUGAAACGCCGUCCGAACUUCGUGGCAGCUGGGAGCCCUGCCCGCCGCCAGCCCCGCCGCCGCCGCCAGCAGCCACAGCCGCAGCAGCCCGCGGCUCCCACCGGCGGCCAUCUCGCGCUGCAGCUCCGCGAGCGCGGCCGGUCCUGCGGCUCCGGCGCGGAAGUUUUCGAAGAGCUCUCUGCGAACGCCGAGGUCCGCCCCUGGCCGCGGGUGCCGGCACAGCCGCGUGGCUGCAGCGACCCCAUCCCACGGGAAACGCUCCCUCGGGGGAUGCAGGCGGCAGGCGGGGGGAGAAGGCGAGCGGGGCACAGCGCGGGGAAGGACGUGCGGUGUCGGCCCCGGAAUCCCCGCUGGAUGACGCGGAGGGCACGGGAGAAUCCUGACGAGGCGAGCGGCAGCUGCAGCCAGCCGGCACUGCGGGACACGGAGAAAACUUUGCACCAGCAAACGUAUGUCCCCGUGUACCGACUGCACGCACAAACUGAUGGCGUGUAUUAAAGAAAAAAAAAACUGCGCAGCUGUGAGAUCCUACUUUGGGGCACACGAAACGCAUUGGCUAUUCCAAGUGGUACUGAACUCCGGAAUCAGUCCAGAAAACCCAUCAACAGCAAUCAAGAAGUAUCCCAGAGGCACGCACCUAUCCAUACAUUUAAUGUAUAAAACUUAGUAACUAAGCUCUGGGUCAUUUUCUUGUUUUGGAACUGCACAGAGAAAGAAAAGAGGAAAAAUAAAGUACAGCUCUUUUAGGACGUGGUCUGAGUGCUGGGACUCCCUCGGAUUGCUCUGUACUGCAGCACAGCACACCCCGCAGGAGCACUUCUAAUGUGUUCCUAGAGCAACAGAGCAGUCCACCUCAGCUAAUGUAACCAUUACACUUUCCCAUAAGAAGUACGGAGAGAGUGGGGUCACUGUUGUCGAUAGUUGUCUGAGUUGUAUUUUAAUAGCUAGAAGUGCAAAUCUUUUAAGCACUUUGCUGGUUCUUUGCUCCUAUCAAGACAGCAAGAGAUUAAUUUCUUUAAUCUCUGAAUAGUAUCUAACCAGUCCUGUGCAAAGGACUGAGGCAGUGGGAGUUUUGCCAUUGUUUUCAGUUGGUGGCAAGUUCAAAUCACAAACGGAUAAUCCUUUUCUUAGGUGACUGUUAUUUUGUCACCUCACCUUUGUACGAUGGAUGCUCUUCUCCUCAACUAUCUGUUUUUGGGCUACUCUAAGUCUUUUUGCUUACAUAUAUUUUCUCAAUUGGGUCUCACGUCGCUACUAAGAGGGCAGCUGUUACCUCCUGUUCCCCUUCUCUCCUCAAAAUACUGCUGUGAAGCCUGAAUUAUACAUCUGCACAAAGACAACAGCAAAUUUAGUGUCAAGGAACUGGAUUGUCCAUAUAUUUAAUAGUGGCUACUGCAAUACAUAAGGAAACAUGUAUGUUCCUAGUGGUUUUAUGGUAACUAUGCUGAAAGGCAUGAAUCACAGAUAGCCUGGUGCAUUUCUCAGGCUGGAGUCUGACUCUCCCCCCCGACCCUUUGGAAAAAAUAUAUAGUUCCUUGCACUUUUUUAAAUGCAGGAGAUAGGAAAGAAAACACAAAUUUUACAAAAACCUUUUUUUUCCCCAGGAUGGAUAGGAGAAAGUAAAAGUAGAUAUUUCUCAAACACUGAAGUGUCUGUGUAUCUAAAGAUAUAUUUAUAAGACAUAUGACAUGCUUGGAAUCAUCUACUGCCUUCAUUAUGACUGAGUCACAGGUGAUGUGCAUGGACAGACAGCCCACAGCUAAAUCCUGGCCUUGCUAACAGCACUGCCACUCGACUGCCAUACAUCUCUUCUCACACCACUUUGGUGACAGAUUGGCAACAAAUUUAGUGACCCUUCUGUGAUGUCAUCACUGGCUGUGUAGAUGGGGGGGCGGGGGGCAGAGCACUGGAUGUUGUCUACCUUGACUUCAGCAAGGAGUUUGACACCAUCUCCCACAGCAUCCUUGUUAGGAAACUUAGCACAGCCAAGACUUGGACAGACAGGAGAGCUGGGCAGGGAGGAACCUGAUGAGGAUUAACAAGAGUAGGUGUAGAGUCUUGCACCUAGGUAGGAAUAAUGACGAGUAUCAGUACAGGUUAGGGAAUGAUGUGCUGGAGAUUAGCUCCAUGGGAAAGGACCUGGGGGUCCUGGUGGACAACAGGUUACCCAAGAGCCAGCAGUGUGCCCUCACGGCCAAGAAGGCCAAUGAGAUCCUGACUUGCAUUAAAAAGAUCGUGGCCAGCAGGUCAAGGGAGGUGAUCAUCCUCCUCUACUCUACUCUGCCCUGGUGAGGCCACAUUUAGAAUACUGUGUCCAGUUCUGGGCUCCCCUGUUCAAAAAAGACAGGAAUCUCCUAGGAGGAGUCCAGCAGAGAGCCACAAAAAUGAUAAAAGGCCUGGAGCAUCUCCUGUAUGAGGAAAGGCUGGGAGACCUGGGUCUGUUCAGUCUGCGGAAAAGACUGAGAGAGGAUCCAAUAAGUGUUUAUAAAUAUCUGAAGAGAGAUGGGAGGCAAAUGGAUGAGGCCAGACUCUUCUCAGUGGUGCGUAGUGAGAGGACAAGAGAGAUGGUCUAAUACUGGAACAUAGGAAGUUCCAUACAGACAUGUGGAAGAACUUCUUUAAGGUAGGGGUGACAGAGCACUGGGACAGAUUGUCCAGGGAGGUUGUGGAUUCUCCUUCUGUGGAGAUAUUUAAGUCCCAUCUGGACACCUACCUGUGCAACCUAUUGUAGCAAACCUGCUUUAUCACGGAGGUUGGACUCUAUGAUUUCUUGACAUCCCUUCCAACCCCUGGAAUUCUGUGAUUCUAUGACAAACACAAUCUUAUUGCACCAGUGAAUGUGCAAGGCUGUUACAUAAACCCAUUCUGACAGCAUGAAGCAGCAGAUGUUAGGAGUUUCCCCCCUACAAAACAAUUGGCCCAGGUGUCAUGCCUGGGCAUAGCCAGCUUCACAAGGGAACCAAACAGACAACAUAGGUGUAAUGCAAGGGACCCCAGGUAAUUUAGAUC